UACGAAGGGGGCUAGCGUUGCUCGGAUUGACUGGGCGUAAAGGGCGCGUAGGCGGUUUGUACAGUUGGAUGUGAAAUUCCCGGGCUCAACCUGGGGGCUGCAUUCAAUACGUAUGAGCUUGAGUUCGGAAGAGGGUCGUGGAAUUCCCAGUGUAGAGGUGAAAUUCGUAGAUAUUGGGAAGAACACCGGUGGCGAAGGCGGCGACCUGGUCCGAUACUGACGCUGAGGCGCGAAAGCGUGGGGAGCAAACAGG
rnacentral:rRNA from 1 species